GGGUUCUUUUGGAUGAUCGCGGCUGCUUGAAAAAGCAGUCGAGGAAAGUCCGAGCUUCAGAGGGCAGCGUAGUGGGUAAUACCCAUCCUUUGAUGAGAUACUCAUCAAAGCGGAUCUCUGCUAAAAACCUUAGCAGACCCACCCAAGCUUAUUGCGUAGGUGGGAGAGCCACAGAGACGAGUCUCGCAACACGGAAAUCGUGUUGCGAGGGUGAAACGCGGCAAUCUCUACGUGAAGAAAAGCCAAAUAGGACGAAAAUCCUUCUUCGGAAGGGGGAAGUGCCCACUUCCUUUAGAUUCGUCGGGUAGGCUGCUUGAGUCCCCGAGUAAUUGGGGACCUAGAUAGAUGAUCAUCCCAGUUUCAAUCGAGACUGGACAGAACUCGGCUUAAAGAAAGAGCCCUUUC
rnacentral:RNase_P_RNA from 1 species